UGAUUUCGAGUUUCGGUAUAGUCCGGCA
rnacentral:piRNA from 1 species